GUGCAUGCCUACAACAUAGAGUUAAUACAUCGGAUCCCAUUAUAAAUCCACAGUUAAGCAUGCUCGGGCUAGAGUUGUACUGGGAUGGAUGACCGCCCGGGAAGUCCUAGUGUUUUACAUG
rnacentral:rRNA from 1 species